GGGGCUGUAGCUCAGUGGUAGAGUGUUAGCCUAGUAUGCAUGAGGUCCUGGGUCAAUACCCAGUACCUUCA
rnacentral:tRNA from 1 species